GAUUCAUUAACUUUGUCCCGACCAACCUGCCCCAUGCAGUGACCUGUGACAUUAAAUUCAGGAACUACCUCAUCCCGAAGGGAACAAAAGUGUUAACAUCACUGACAUCAGUGCUGCAUGACAGCAAGGAGUUCCCCAACCCAGAGAUGUUUGACCCUGGCCACUUUCUAGAUGAGAAUGGAAACUUUAAGAAAAGUGACUACUUUUUGCCUUUCUCAGCAGGUAAUAGAAACUCAUUUUUAUGGUUUCAGUGACAUGAAGAUCUGUGGAGACUUACACAGUGGCUCCCAAUUCCUGAGAGACUUGCAAUUUAUACACAAUUGAAAGCAUACUUAUCCAUGUCUCAGUGUCAUCCUAGAAGGCAAACUUCAUUUACAAUUUACUAUCUCACUACAGAAUUGAGGGAAUCAUAAUUUAAA
rnacentral:lncRNA from 1 species